AGAGUUUGAUCCUGGCUCAGGAUGAACGCUAGCGGCAGGCCUAAUACAUGCAAGUCGGACGGGAUCCAUUAGUAGCUUGCUACUGAUGGUGAGAGUGGCGCACGGGUGCGUAACGCGUGAGCAACCUACCCAUAUCAGGGGGAUAGCCCGAAGAAAUUCGGAUUAACACCGCAUAAUACAAGAGAUCCGCAUGGAUUUUUUGUUAAAUAUUUAUAGGAUAUGGAUGGGCUCGCGUGACAUUAGCUAGUUGGAGAGGUAACGGCUCACCAAGGCUACGAUGUCUAGGGGCUCUGAGAGGAGAAUCCCCCACACUGGUACUGAGACACGGACCAGACUCCUACGGGAGGCAGCAGUAAGGAAUAUUGGUCAAUGGGGGCAACCCUGAACCAGCCAUGCCGCGUGCAGGAUGACUGCCCUAUGGGUUGUAAACUGCUUUUGUUAGGGAAUAAACCUUCUUACGAGUAAGAAGCUGAAUGCACCUAAAGAAUAAGGAUCGGCUAACUCCGUGCCAGCAGCCGCGGUAAUACGGAGGAUCCGAGCGUUAUCCGGAUUUAUUGGGUUUAAAGGGUGCGUAGGCGGCACUUUAAGUCAGGGGUGAAAGACGGCAGCUUAACUGUCGCAGUGCCCUUGAUACUGAAGUGCUUGAAUGCGGUUGAAGACGGCGGAAUGAGACAAGUAGCGGUGAAAUGCAUAGAUAUGUCUCAGAACACCGAUUGCGAAGGCAGCUGUCUAAGCCGUUA
rnacentral:rRNA from 1 species